UUCUCGGAAAGGCCUCUUCUGAUUCUAGGAGGUGCUGCAGCAGGAGCUGACUCGGCCAUUUCCUGUCCUCUUUAGUUGGAAGAUGACAGAAAGGCGGAAGCAGGGACUGCUAUUGUGAGGCCCAUGGCAGCCUCCCUGUAAAACAAAUUGGCAAAUUGUCACCAUCAGAUGGACCACAGCUGGCCCUCUGCAGAGCCCUCCUUGGCCUUUCCAGAGUGUGCAUGAUUGUGUCCCAUGUCCAGGGAGAGGACAGAGCCACCAGGAGGGUCAAGGUCAUGGAGGGAAGCAUGGGUGAGUAGGAGAUGGACCCCAGAAAUCCCUCCUCAUGCUCCUCCUUACUAUCACAGGCCUUGGCUGCCUUUCUUGGGAGGCAUUCCCAGCUCAGAGUUGGGGGUGCACUAAGAUAAAGCAAAGAGGGCCCUAUUGGGGUGGGGGUGAGGAACCUCCUUUGGGGAUAUAGCAAAGCAGACCCAUUCCCGCCCUUGCUGGCUGGAAUGCCCAGUCCUGCCCUGCCUCCCCGGGCCCCACACACCCUGGCUGACAUCUGUGCUGAGGACACGGCCAAGGAGAGCUGGAAGGAGCAGAGGGGAGAAUCGUGUACCAGUUCUAUACAAACAGGACCCACAGGCUUGGGGUCCCCAGAGGAUGGCAGAGCUAGGGGAGACUGGGAGCUGGAGGCCAGACAGGGGUACACUUUUGCCUCAGGUUGGGGAGACAGUACAAAUAAAAACUUGUUGCUGUGCAGAACUGAUCCAAAGAUGAACUGGAGUUUCUUAAGAAGAGGCUCAGGUUUGGAAGUAGAACUUAAUAUGAUGGUUGUCUCCUUUCCUUAACCUGCGACUCAAAACCAAGGGCAAGUGGAUCUCUCACGUCAGACGCAGGAGCAGCCUCUUAGAGUCUGCUAGAGCAGCUACCCAGAGUGAGAGAGGGCUGCUGACUUUGGAGCUGAUGCCCAGGUCAGGGCCUGGUCGAGCCACAUCCCCGUCCUUCAUUCCCAGCCCCUGAUGACCUUCUAGAAGCAACACUGAGUUCGGCAGCUUGGGGUCCACUGGGGCACAGCAUGUCUGAGCCUAACCUGACGGCCAGCCUCCCAUUGGCUCAGCUUGUCUUCCCAGGUACUGCCUGGAAAACCAGCCUCUGGUAGGGAUGUCCAGGCCUGCCCUUCCCAGCUCUACCAGGGUGGAAAUCCGAUUCCCUGGGCCCUGUUUUCAGAGUUCCAGUGCUCUCUCUCAUAGCCUGUAAGUGGAGAAGGGCAAGCUGAAGAAGGAACAGACUGUUUUCUCAGGGGGAAGCCGGGCAGCUCGUGUAUGCCUCCCAGCAUCGCGGCAUGGUGGAUUCAUCCGGCCCUGAGGACAUGAAUUUGGUUCCUCCAGGAGCUCCUCCAGCCUCAAGAUCCACAAAUUGGAUGGAAGUGAGUCCUGCUGCGUAAAUCUGUGCUGAUGUCACCCAGUGCCUUCACCUGCCCGUUGGUGAAAAUCCUGGGACAAGACCCUCACCUGCCUGCACAGGGGGGCCAUGAGGUCUAGAGGCCCAAAUGAAGGCCUCACUAAAUGGACCCUGAGGUGUCAGGGCCACUGGCAUGGUGCCAGGGCCUGUCUGUUCUUCCUGCUAGCCAAAGACUGACUUCUCAAGCUACUGGAUGAACGGGGAACCUGGAGAUGUUGAACAAGUCACAUGUAUCUCUGAUUGCCUUGAUCUCCCCAUUUUGGCCGAUGGCAUCUCUAAAGCAUUUGAUGAUUCCACCAUCAAGUGUGAGAGCUACAGGAGAUAAAAAUUUUAAAUUACUAAUCACCCAUGGUAAUGCAUGGUAAUGCAUGCUGGACAGUGAGGAGGGCAGAUGCCACUGGCAUUCCAAAACAGGAAGCACUCAGGAGCUCUACCAGAGCGUGGCUGCCCUCUCCACAUCUGCACUGCUGGACUGAGGGUUUAGUUGAUCCGUCUCUUCCACACAUUUGCAGAGAUAUGCUCAAGCAUGACUUAAGUGACUUAUUGCUCACGUGUUGCCUUUGUAUGUCAUGCUUUUCACCCAGUGAGCUCGUUGAGGACAGGGGUUGCAUUUUAGGACAUUUCCCCCAGUGUCUUCAUAGAACCUGUCAAGAUGCACGGCCUUGUUGGAAAUGCCAAACAUCUAUUAUUCACCAGCAGAACGGAUGAGCCCCUGAAAGGCAUGUAGUUGAGCUGCGCAGUCUGAACUCAGCAAAGUCCUCGCAGCGGACUCCAAAUUCCUGCCUCUGAAGAAGCAAGCUGAGCCUUAAAGAUGGCUGAAAAUGUGAACAGUCUCAGGGCCACGCAGACCCACCUGAGUGGUUGCUCUCUGAUGCCUCACUGAGCCAUCCACCAUCCCAGCAAGGAAAGGGCCUGCAAGAAGACCAGAAAAUGCCUCGUUCAGUCAGGCUGCUUAGUCAUGGCCCAAACCUGGAGCGUUUAAUUCUGCUCACUGUGACUUUAUUGCAGUGGCACACACAUUUACAUCACUUUAUGUGUGAUAACAGUAGAGAGGUUAGUUGGGCUUUUCUGUUUUUUGUUUUUUUUAAGAUAAUGAGAAAAGUCUCUAAUAUUCAGCCAAAACGUAUCCUUGUGGCUGGUGUAGAUUUUUGGCGAAAUGACACUGUACAUAAUCAGAAGAAGACAAACAUGCAUAUUAUCUCUAUCUCCUUAUAACUGCACAAGAUAACAUAAAACUGCAGGAAGUAUCAAGCAUAAGAAUAAAAGCCGUCUAUUGAAGCCUGCAUAGCAUCCCCUGCGUGCCUCAGGAACACCCUUCGGUGGAUUAGGAUGAGCACGCUGGAAAAUACACACCCUGCCGCUGCCUCUGGCUAAUGCCAGGCCCCAGCUCCUGUUUCUUAAGCCACAGAACACCUGAGUGUCUAUGUCGUGUCUGCUGUAGUUUAGGUUAGGCAGGUGACAUGGCUCCAAAGAAAGUCACAGGCUGGUUUCUGCUGCGGAGAUUUGUGUCCACUUCAUGCAUGUUUAUUGUCUGUUAACUCUGUGUGAAGCCACGGCAAAGGGUACGUGAUGUUGUUAGACAGGUCACAACCUAGUCAGUGGGAUCAAGACAAGAGAUGGAGACAGCAGGCCUUGACACUCUGGAAUCAUUCUAAUUUGUAAAUAGGACACCUGAUGAAGGGGAGGCGUGCCUAGUCUCUGGGGGGGAUUUCCUGCUGAGACCCACCAGGUAUACAGUCGAUCCUUGUCUGCAGUGACCCCAGAGACAUUUAUUGCAACACCUGCACGUCAGCUUACGGCAACUGUGUUCUGCCUGGCCCAGGAUGGACUCUGCUCCAUCUGCGAGUCAGCCUCUCCAAGGCAGCAGUGGGGUUGGGAAGAGUGAAGGAGGGACCUCCAUGGUGCACCAGCUCCUAGACAGCCAGCUCAAGUUACAUUUCAGCCAUCUCAGAGGCUACUUCUGGACAAUUGUGGAUUAGCGAGGUGACAGUCCAGGAACCUGGAUCCCAUUCUGGCCAGGGAGUUGUGGCUUCUGAGAUAAGGACUUUGUCCAUUGGCGAUAAACUAAAGGGUUUCUGCCUCUGCUCCCUCCAGGGGCGGCUUAUGGCACGGGCUCACCAAAUUGCAGGCCCAGAGCACCUGCAAUCUCAGGGAGCUCAGGGGCUUCCCAGCAUGGGCAGCGGAAGGCACAGAUUCGCUUCUCCUGCAGAUGCAGAGACACUGGGGUGGAUGGUCUAAAGCUCAGGAUCUUAUAAUGCGGAGAAGGUGGAAUAGAGCAGGAACCAGGCCCCUGUCUGGAGGAAGGAACCAAUAACAACAACAAAACUACUGACAACGUGCGUGCUUUACAAUUUUCAAAGCGCUCUCAUCUCAGUCAAGGAAGGAUGCAUUCUCUCCACAGGCUAACAACGUUCAAAACCCAACCACCAGAAACAUGAAGAUAAAACAAAAGGAACCACUAGAAACAAACAAGACACCCGUCCAUCCUCCAGGUUUGCAAAUCAGACCAAGUUCUGACAAUUGGUAAAAAGGAAGAUGAGAAGAUCCUGCCAGAUAAAUUCUCUGGUACCUUCAUUGAUCUCAUUCUUUCACCAUCAAAGGGGAAUGCAGAAAUGCCAGCAGGAGC